AUGAAGCAGAAGUUGCGUCACAUGCUCCACAUCCUAUCAGCGGACUUCCAAAUACUACAAGGAUGCGGAUUUGUUGAUGACGGCUACAGAUGUUUCCAAGUAAGGCGGUCGUGCCGUGAGGUGAUGCAUUGGCUCUGGUCCUUCUUUUUGGUAAGGGUGUGUUUGGUUGCUGGAAUGGCGUGGAACGUCACGGGUCCGACCCAUUGCCGAGCAUCGUUCUCGUGUUCAGUAGGGAGAUGGAACGGUCACCGCCUCGUUCCUAGGAACCGAAUAUUCGGCCCAGAUGCGGAACCAGGUGAUACCUCCAAAACGAGCGGACGACGCGGAACCGGCUCUCUUCUCGCACGCCCAGCCCUAUCGCCUCUCCUCGCUGCGCCGCCUCCCCCUCGUCUCUCUCUCUCCCUCGAUCUGCGCCGCCCCACCCCGCCCCGCCUUCCCCCGAUCCCUCGCCGCGGCUGA
rnacentral:rRNA from 1 species